AGAAGGUAAUGUAAUGACUUGUCCCUUCCCCAAAGCAGCAAAGAGCAACUAGAAAAAAAGCAGGACCAAGAUUUUCAGUGCUUACAUUAGAAUUAACAGAAAAGAAACUAAAUAUGUGUAGAUAAAUAUGUAUGUACAUAUAAACAGAUAAACUAGUGUCCAGGAUAAUAAAUGAACAACAAUCAGUAAUAGAACCAGCAGGUUUAUAUCUGAAAGACCUGUUUAAUUAUUCCUUUUCACUUUAUAAGCUCUUCUUAAUUAUUUUUUAAAGCAUUUCAAUUAUAAAUGCAGAACGUAUUUUUAUGUGUGGUAGAGGGAAAAGGACCAGGAAAACUCAUCAUAAUCCAUUAUUAAACGUUCAGAUGUGAAAAAGAGCAGUAGGAAGAAUGCAGCUGCGUGUGCACUUGGCUUGCUUCUACAAAGAUGUGCAGCAGAGGGCACCACAGAUGGCACACAGGAGAGUGCUGCUUUGAAGCUGUUAGGCUCUGCUCCGUAAUUACACAGCUCUGAUAAAACAGGUACGAUUGGUAAGUAAACGUUUGCUUUAUAAGACAGCCUGUUACCAGAAAUUCCCUUAAGACUGCCUAUUUUUUAUAAACGUGCUCUUAUCAGAACACUUGUGAAGGGAGCUCUGCUGUGAAAUAGUCUGUAUGAGAUGUCUGAUGCCGACUUCCAAGAAUGUUCUGUAACUGCAGAGGAAGAGCCUGUCUGGAUCAGAAACUAUUGUAGUCAUUACAUGCUACAGAUAAAAGAGCAACACAGAGCAAAAAUGUGCAUGUAUCUUAGUGCCAAGAUACUAAGUUGCUUGAUACUGACUUUUCCUACAUAAAUCACUGCAUCAGUAGAAUAAAUAAACUUAUGUUAUUUCCUUUUCUUUGUUGCAUGCCUUAUCAAAAGAUGCUUUCUCCUUUUAUGUGCAGUCAGUCUCCUACAUUCAGUUUACAUGAUUGCAGUGGUCUGUAUUUCUCACCAAAAAGUCUGUCCUUACCCCUUUUAGCAGACUGGCUGGCAGACCAGUGGAUCUGAUAGGUUUACUUUGAGUUAACAUCAAAUAGCAUGGGAAAUCCAGUAUCUCACACACACCUAAAACAAAGACAAACUUCUCCAAACUGUAGUGAUUCAGGGCAAGCAGAAGUGUUUGGAACAUUGAGGAGUGUUAAGGAGAUAGAUAGAAGCUUAAACACUAAAGCAAGAACAGGAAAAACAAAAUCCCCACCGGCCAUUUAAGAGCUUGCUGGGAGUACGCCUACUACGUUCCAUCAAGCUUCAGUCUCUUGCUGCCUCCCUUGGCUACGGUGUGGACAAUUGCUGGAAGGACAGACAUUUUGUGAGCCAGCAGAUUUUACUGUGCAAAGUUAGGAUGCAACAGGAGCCAGAUCUAUCACCUGCCAGCUACACUAACAGUUACUGAUCUUUUCCUAAAGAGCAAAGCCUGAAGGAAAAAGGGAAAAGAAAGGGAGAUGAAUAGUCAUUCUCUACUAGCAGCUAACAACCUCAAAUGGGAUAGCCCCUUCCAACUGAUAUGUUUGGGUUUUGAAGAAAAAAGAAGGAAAAGAGGAAGAACUUAUAUGUUUUCAGUUCACCUGACUAUGGAGGGAGAAACACCUGCAGCAGUCCGUUCUGCAGAGAACCAAACCACCAUGCGAGCAAGUGGGGUUUUUUGUUACCUUCUCUUCUUGUUGUUGUUUUGUUUUUCAGAAGCAAAUUCUAGCAGGCCUUUCUUAAAAAGGAAAAGUGGUUUUCAUCUAACUUCUAUUACAGGGAUCCAACAUUUUCUUGUGCUUUUAGGAGCAAUAAUUUAUUUUAGGCAGCAGGGCAGUUAUCUGAGACAAAGAAACGCCAAGUGAACUAAAUAAAAGAAUGCCUUUUCCUAAUUCAGCAUAAAUGCCAUGAGAAGUUCAUUGGCGAUAAUUAAGCUGCAAAUAGAACUCUGUCUGAGCACUCAAAUAGACAAACCUUAUUUGCUGAGAAGUUUGAGCUUCACCAGUACUAUCAUAAGGAUAUUUCAAUCCUUCACCAGUCUGCAAACUGCCCUAAAAUAGACCAAGACUCCUGAAUAUUGAGGGAUUCUCUCUCUGGAAUCCAAAUCACUGCACCAUCUUCCCUGUUUUAAAACUGCUGCAAGGAUGUAACUGCAAACUGUAAAAAUAAAAGUAAAUUCAUUUAAGAGGAAAUCAGCUGCAGCAGCUUCAGGACUUGCAAAAGUUACACGAAAAUAAGAAUAGGAUUUUAUAAUGGGAACUUGGGCAUUCUACUGCUUUUAUUAUUCUUUUGAAGAGCAUGUUGGGAGGGAGUAUAAAGUGAGAAGAUAUUUUGAAACAUCCAGACCUCUGUGGAAGUGACUCAGCUGGAAAUAAAACACAAAGACUGCCUUGCUGCUGAAUAACCUACUGGUCUCUCACAUACAAGUAACAAAUAUAAACGUCAGACUCUUCAUCUGUUGCCUUCCGUAUCAAAAUCCCGGGAGUGCUGAGCUAUAAAAGAAUCAGGCAAAUAAACAGCACCGCCUUCUGCAUCGAGCACCUAUAUACUUCUAACAGAUUAAUACCUAAUAUUUACCUGUUACCACAUUCUCCACUGCUAGGAAUAACAUGAGAAUUUGGGCUGAAGUGUCUGUGUGUCAGGUAAAUACAUAACAAGUGCUGAAUGGUGAGAGGAAUGUGGGGGGCUGACAGCUCCCUCCACCCUCCUUGCAGCCCCCAGCAACAGCCACCCUUACUGUCUGACCAGUUGGGCUCUGACAAACCCACGGCCAACAGCGGUAGUUUUCAGGUAGCUAUGUAUCAUCCCAUAGAAGUAGGAAGUGCAUUUAAUGGAUUGAUUUGUAAACAUUUAUAUACUUGUAAAAUUCCAAAUCUGGUUUAACUGAACAUUGAAUAAACAUGUUAUUAGGAAAAAAUCUGAUGAUUAAAAAAACGUGUUAAAGGGAAAAUAUGUUGAAACAAACAAAUGAAAGACAUUUGUGUUAAAACGUAACUGGAAAGCAAGAAUGUCUUCUGUUCCAAUGUUGAUGUGACAGCAUGAACAUAAUGGUCAAUAGAACAUAUUCUUGGAAACAGCUGCACCAUUUCCUCCGGAUUAGGAAAAGGUAAAAUGUCUUGUUUAUUUUUUAUUCUCCUUUUGUUGGCAAAGCUGUCAAGAGCAUGAGAACUCAGGUGUGAUUUUGCUCCUUAAACCCAAAAUUGCCAGCUGCUGUACAUUAAAAAUACUCAUGCCAAAAUCUGUUCUUUCAUUUAUGUGAGAGCUGCACUGCUGCUGCCAUGGCCUCAGGUUUGUGCCAACAGGUAAAACUCAGGAUGGACUUCAGACCUUUGUUAUUAACUAUUUAAUAAUGCCUGGGGAAAGUGAAGUAAGAGGGUGACAUAGGAGCCUGUUCUGACACCGAGGACUGUGGGUCAUGUGAAUAAUGAGAAGGGUGGGGCAGGUGAUUAACACAGUCCUGCUUCAUUUUUGAAAGCCUAGAUUAACAUCAGCUCUGUGUCACUAUUCAAAAUGCAUUUGGAGAUUUUAAUUUAAGUUACUAAUGUUAAUUGGUCCGCACCACAAAAUGCCAGGGACACCGUGAUGCAAUUUGGACAAAAAGCAACCUUUGCUUUGGAGGGUCCUGAGGUUCAGUACAGAAUAUGCCAAAUAUCCAACAGCAAAGAUGUGUUGGUUUACUGGGUUUUGUCGUUUGUUUUUUCACUGGAGGAGAGGUGAAAACACGAUUCAAACAUACACAGGAAUCGAACCAAAACAUGUCAUACGGGGUUGUCGUGUGAGCAGUUCUGGAUGCUGUAAGAUUCACUGGCCUUCACUGAAGGCUUCUCUGUACCUUCUUCUCAGAUACAUUCGUAGCCCUUUCACACCCUGUGUGAAGACUCUUUCUGUAUACAUAUUUGUAGACCAGUCUUUUCUCUCUACUCCAACAAAGCUCAAAUGCUGCUGUAAGUCCUCUUCUAUAUUUGGGCAUGGAAGAAGGUAGGACAUUUUGCUUUGUUUUGCUUCGAUUCACUGCUGUUGGCAAUGAAAACCACAACCAUCCUGAGCCCGGUUUGGGGGAUCUUCUUCCAGGCUGCUUCAUGCCUUGUUUUGGGACUGGGCUCUGGGAAGUGCUGAGCCGAAAGAGCCGUGAGGACGUCCUGCAGCCAAAAAGGCAUCCAGCUCACUGUUAGAAGAAGGUAUGAAUUAAAAGUUUCAUUAAUAAAUCACAGAAUCUGUGCACAUAAAUACAAAUUCCUAUAAUAUAAAAUUCUCCCAGGCUGAUCCCAAAGGGAGUUCAGUGCUUAAAGAAUAGAAUAGAACAAAUUUAUACUAUUCUCUAAAGACAAAAUCUUCUGGCACAAACAGGAGUUUGGAGCUAAGGGCUGAAAGCUUUUUUGCACUGGAAAAUUGACUGGAAUUGCUAUUGCAGAACAAGCUAUUCUGCAACAGCUCACCAUCUGACCCGUGACUUUUCCAGACUAGAAUAUCCACACAGGGAACUAUUAUGGAACAGUUUAUUCAGAAAUAGCUAUUGUGGUCAGUCCUCCUGCACAGAUAAAUGCAUGGUGUCCAUGAAUACCUAUAGCAAGGGGGAAAAGGGCUUUUUUUUUUUUUUUUUUUUUUUUUUUGCUUGUUCAUUUUGUUUUCUUAUUACAGGAUAGCACUUAAUGUCAGAUAUAUAGCAUGGCCAAAUGGUAAAGCAGACAGGGAACUUCCAGUCAGGUCAUCAUGCAAUUGACUAACACCCAUCAUUGAAUUUCCUAACAUAAUACAUGCUCAUACUACAAUCACUUACAUGCUAAGAACAUCUCUACAUCUGCAAGGCUGUGUUCAUCACAGGAUGUUGCAUCAGCUUAAGCAAAUAAUUAGAAACAUCCCUAAUCAAAUCAGUGAAAAAAACAUUAACAAACGCAUUUGUUGAAGUCUCUGAUUGACAGAACUCACAUCUCAGUCAUCGCUCAUGAUAACAUCAUGUACAUUAUUAGAAAGAAACAUACUACAGUUCCACACAUCUGCAACAACCACUCAUUGUUGACAUUAGCUUAUUAAUUUCACUAAAUAACAAAUAUCCAACUGAUGCCAGCAGUACCUCUUUUGGGUCAAGAAUUCCUGUUUGUGCCAUAAGCACGGUCAGCUGCCAGCUGUGUCUGGCACUUUACCAGAGAGACAGCUCCUUUCUAAACAUCCAGGCAGUGUUCAUUUAUUAUUUCACUAUUUUUCUGCAUAUCUUCCUUUGUUCUGUUAAAAACUAGUUGAGUCCUAGAGAAAAAAAAUACAUAUAUCCUAUAAAAGCUAGGUUGGUUGAAAUUCAAGCUUACCUCCAGAAACUGCAUUCAACAGCUAAUGGUGUCAUAUUGUUAAAUGAAGGGAGAGUAAGUAGGAGAACAAGUUGGUAAGUCUUACAGUUGUUCAAAUAAUUUUGUCUUUAAAUAGCUUUUCAAGGACUCCUGAUUAUAAAGAUCAUAAAAUAAAUAUCAAAAGAUAUAUCAUAAAAUAUAUAUGAAUAUACAACGACAUUCUUUUGCAUAUUAGAGUCUGUCAAAGAAAUAUGACAUUUUCUACAAACAGCCAUUUUUUGCCAACAAACAAAAUCUGUUACCACAGGGAAAUAAGCACUCAAACCCACACCAACGUCUUAGCAAUAAAAUGCUUAUUUGAAUAAUUGACACGAGGAAGGCGAUCAGACCACACCAGCUGUUGGGAAGGACCCAAAUCUCUGCAGAUCUGUGCAGGGAGAGCCUCUGCUGACACUGCAGCAGGCACUGCUGGCAUUUGGAAGCAAUUCCUGCUCUUCUAAGAAGUGCUGUGCUGGAGGGAGGUUUUCUGGGAAUCGUGUAUCUACCCAUGGGAACUGAUGGGAAUCAGGCUGUCUGCUCAGCUGACAGAACGGAUGGCCACGAGGAUGGGUCUGUAUCAUCUCUCUGGGGAGAGAAAAGGCUGUGGCAAAACUUUCCAGGGAGUCCAGCAGUCUGUUAGAGGGUUAUUACCCAAAGCCUUUCAUGUCACACUUAUCUGGAAAGCACCAAAAAAAUGGAAAGUAGGAAGAGAACUGAACAGCUCAUGGGCUGUGACCUGGAAGAAACAGGAUUGAAAAAAUGCUGGAAUGAAAGAGAUGAGCAUCGGGAGCAUUUGAAGUAUUUAUUUUAAAAACAGAGGGAACAAACAGCCUUCACAGGCACAGAGUCCAGGCCCAAAAGGCUGCCUGAGAGGUUUCCAUGACAGCCUGAGCACAUCUCUUGAUUUCAUAACCUUCUAUCACAUCAGUACUGUGCUUAUUCUCCUUGUGCACAGCGAGGAGCAGCACAACACAAAGCAGAAGAGGACACCAUCCUCACAUCAGAUGCAUUCAGUCGCUAAUAGUGCACAGCCUGGGGAAAACAAUCCAGUAAUUUACACGAUGCAACAGCCAAUAUGGAAACUCAUCUUGAUUUUCACUCCCACUGAAAAACUUCCCCUUCCACAAGUCACAGAAUGCCUGUUCCACAGUCUAAGUUCCUACACAAUAUGCAGUCACAUCCACACUCAGCCCAAUUCUCCACCAUUAUGAGACAACAGCAACAGAGUCUCCGUCCUUUUUCUCCUUUGUUACAGAAUGUUCAGUAUUUUGCUGGAGAUUAAAACCCAGAGAACUUUUACUUUGAAAGGAUACAUUUGUUUCAGUGUUCUACACGAGACACGUGUAAUAAAUACAUUAAGCAAUACACUGAGGUCAAACUGGUGUCCCUGCCCAUGGCAGGGGGUUGGAAAGAGAUGACCUCAAAUGUCCCUUCCAGCCCAACCCACUCCAUGACUCCGCUAUCUGCAGCAGGCUAAAGCACUGCAAUAAGGACACUUUACACUGAACGUCUGAGAAAUUAUCAACAGCCUUUCAGGUUUUUAUAACUGUAAAAUCAGAAAACUGACUUCAUAUUGGAGAAACAUUUCAGUGCAGCACAAAUGCAUAUUUUAAUCAUAAUUUUAAAAAUAAAACCAGUGCCAUAAGUUUUGCCAACUGCCUCCCGAGGUGUAGGAAUUUAUAGCUGCCUACUAAAUGCACUGAGGCAGAAUGAGUUUAAUGAGAUGAAAAGUUCAUCUUUGUACUCACUUCCUUCACUCUCAUAUGAACUGGCAAGAUUAGCAAUAGUGUCUCUACAUUCAUUUAUACCAGCUAUUUUAUUUAUUUCCCAGGGCGCAGAGACAGAAGUUGCUCAGCCAUGGGAAGACCCGCCAUGCUCUCCCUCUCACUGGCCACGCCAUGGAUCUGUGCAGCAAUGGAGCACCUGAAUGCAGUAAUGGAGGAGAAAGAAGAAAGCAUUGCCAUCCUUCUAUUUUGCCAAGAGGAGGAAAACAGCAUGGAGCCAUACGACGCAGAAAAAUGUCUGCAUGCUGAGAGCGGUGCUGCACACAGCUCGUGUCCUGUGCGUGAAUUUCGUUUGCAAAAGAACUGCCGGGAUUGUUCUGCAAAGAGCACCCACUCCUCCAGCCCGGCCCUCCCCGGGCGCUCUCACUGCUUCGCUUCCUCCUUCUGGCUGUGAAGUCUGAAAGGAGCUCACGGAGGAGCAACGGGAUCAGUGCUCCCCUCUCACCCUCUGCUGCAGAAGAAGAAAGAGGUUUGAUUAAGUCCUCUAAAAGUAUUAAGGCUGAAUCAGACCACAAAAAGGAAAACAAACAAACAAACAAACAAACCCGUGCUCUAUGCUCACAAAAAAUGUCACCUUCCUAACGGCUGCAGUCAAAUCCUUUAGAGCCGGUAUUUACAAUCAAAUGUAUUCAAAUAUCUCCGAGCCCUAACGCAGAUGACACCAAAAGGACCAUUUGCUAUAACUUAAACAAGUGCUCUGUAGUUCUCGGUUUAGCUCCUAAGGAAAACCGAAGGAAGGACCUACUGCCAGGGAUGCACACACACACACACACACACACACACACACACACACGCAUAUUUCAUCCAACCCACCGCUACCAGCCCCGGGUCGCACUGAUUAACACUUUUCACGUAAACACACUUUUUCUUCCUUGAAAUGUUAAUGCCUGCUUAGUGCAAGGUGAAAGUCUAUCCAAAGACCGAAUCCCUUAAGAGUGUUAAUUAAACAGGACAAUAAUAAUCCACCGGUGAUUUAUGGCGAGGUGGAUGACUAGACCAUAGUGGUUGGUCUGAUAGGCAUUUAUUGCCUACUUAACCAUUUAAGUAUAACAAAAAAAAUCAUUGUGGUACAAAAGGUGAUGAAUGUUGCUGCUAAAACAGUCCAUUAAGAUGAUUCAUUAACAUUACAAAGAGGUCUGCAGCCUCUGUGCCACUUGGAGCCCGUAAAAGUCUGGGAAAGUGAGAGACAUUACCAUAGGAAAUGCUUUAUGCUAAAUGCGUGCUGAUAGAAUCUGAAGUCCACUUUCUGCAGAUAACAUCACUUUUUACAUUUUGCACUACAAGGUCCGAGGAUGCUUUGUACUUCUUAUUUCUGCAGCUAGAGAAUGUAUCUUCCUAACAGAGCAGCGCGGGAGGAGAGGAGUAAUAAAAGUCACAAUGCUCUGGCACACAUCUGAGCCUUUCAUACUUCCCUUUGAACUGAUGUCACUGGAAUGCCGAACCGCUGGUUGCACCACUGCGGAGCGACCGAGAGCCAUGAGUUAUAGUCACAGUGGUUACAACUUUAUUAAAUGCACACCAAGAAAAGCUACUACAAUGAUCUUCCCAGGUCAAAUAACAGCGGAUUCCUGCUGUGGGACAGCAAGGAGAUGUGCCACGGAUGGAUGAUACAUGAAACAGUAUAAGGGUUAAAUCAGAGUGUAAAUGUAUCUAAAAAUACCAAAUUAUGAUCUCAGUACCUUCCUAACAAGUGAUUCCCAGUAACUAAUGAAGCCUGACUCCUUAUGGAUUUAUGCCACAUCUCUCACACCUCCCCAUCAGAACAACACCCACUGUCCUCUGCCAUAGCUGUGCUGUAAUAACGCCCCGGUGUCCCUUAGCCAGCCCCAGGCUUUUUGGAUUUGCCAGCUGAAGAAAACAGUGCAUUUGCUAAGGAGUGAUAGAGUGAUCUGCAAAUCAGAAUCAUUUGCUGCUGUCAGCCAUGAUGAAGAAUUGCUAAAUUCUGCCUUCUUCUCGAUGGGAGCAUUAAUAAGAACUCCCUCCUCUUGGUAGGUGCUAACUCUUGCAAAAUUGCUAAGGACACAGCACCUUUGAAACUCCUCUGCAACCUGUGACAAAUGUGUCAGCAUAUUGGAAACUGGGUCAGACAAAUAAGGAGAUUGUGUAAGCAGUUCCCCAGGGAGCCAGACGAAGAGGCAUGAUAGGAUCUCCACUGACCAGAAGUUGCUAGAGUCUUGUUUAUGUACUUCAUCUGAGGUGGAGCAUCCCCCAGUGCUUCCUCAAUUACAGGAAGUGUGUGCAGCACCUGUUCAGACUACCUGGGCUAGCUGCAAACAAGCUAGACUGGGUUCCAGGAGCACAGGACACUUGCUAACAAAUUCUGCUUCUCAGUAUGUAAUUAGCCUACUUUACUUCUCAGUAAAUGAAUUAGCACAGCUACACUACA
ensembl:lncRNA